rnacentral:piRNA from 1 species
UGCUGUACAGAUUAACCGUAUUAGUAGGAGC